AUUGGGUCCUCUAGGGGAUUUCUCAACGGAACGUGGUGUUACAGAACCGAGAGUGCAGGGCGGCCGCCACCAUGAGACUCCACCAGUGUUUGCAAUUGGAGGCUAGAAUCAAGUCACGGAGGUUCGCUGGCGGUUGUGGAGUCUAAUUCAUGUUCCAAUUGAGCUCGGGAACGACCGGUUGAUGGCCAUGGCCAUCGGGGAACGCGAGAGAAAGGGGCAGAGAGAGAGAGAAGCUCCGCCGCUAGGGAGCGUGAUGGCCAUCACCGUCGCCCUGUGCCUUGGAUGUUGCCCGGCACCCACGGAUGGGUCAGGACCACUCGCCGGUGCGUGUGGGUGCUCAUUGGGGCUUCGGCGGGCUAGGAGCGCUCGCUGGGGGUGGUGGAAUUCCUCGCCGGAGAGGGAGUUGCGCCGCGGGACCGCCUGCUACCGUGGCCAUGACAACCUGUGCCACAAUCCGCGGUAUGUUUAACUCCCUUGUGUUCUCCAUACAAUUCUCCACAUGUGCGCGCCCUAGAUCGGAAAUGAGUCACGGGGAAUCGGAAUCUGGUGAUCUCCUAUGAUGGCGCGCCGCCGUGGGCCGUGGUGACGGGGAGCUGUACCGCUGUGGCCAGCUGCGGUGUAGGAGAAGAAUGCGGCUCGUCCGUUGGUUGAUGAGCGCCUAGGAUUAGAUUUGGCAUAGGAUGGCCCUCGUCCGUCGAUCAUGUAGCAAACGACCGCGAUUAGAUGUGUGUACCCCUUCACGCAUGAUUAAAUCCUGGCCGCUAACUCUAGAUCGUGCGGUCGGGUUUUGAUCCUGUUUUUAUAACACGAGGUGCCGUUGGAUUCAGAUCCGAGGGCGAUCGUGAGAUAUCGGUUUGUUUUGGGCAGAAGUCUAAUCUCGCGCGUCUGUGUUUGAUCGAACGGUCCCAAUUGCCAGAUACCCCUUCGGAUAGCGAUUUUGCAAAAGAGACCCCCUACUAUACUAGUAUCAACCCGCAGUCCACCUGGUGGGUCGUCUGAGUCUUAGGAUUAGUUACACCUAGGCCCCUGAGUUUUCUGGAAAAUGAGGCCGAGUCCAGAGAUGUUUAAAAACAGAGAAAUAUUUAUAGAAAUUCAUUUUUAAUACAAAAACAAAUCUAGAAACUUGUAAAAUUCAUAGAAAUUCCAUUUUUGAUCUAAAUUGAACCAUUCCAAUUUCUAAAAUUUUGUAAUAAUAUUCUCUAUCACUUAAGAGUCUCUGUUUUGUCAUAAAAACAGUAAGAAAAUUAAUUUCUCAUUUAAUCCUAUUUCAAUCACAUUAAAUCUUAGGAAAUUCAUAACUUGAAAUCUAUAACUCCAAAUUUAAUGAUUCCAGUUCCUAUGAUCUCAUUUGAAUGUGUAGAUUUUUACUGUAUAUUUUAUUCAUCUGUUUGGUGUGAUGUUGAUUUUGGCUAUACUAUGUAUGUAUUGUGUUGAUGCGAAUAGACGAGCAAACCACUGUGGAUUCUGAGGUUCAACAAGUAGAGAUAGCUGAGCAGGAGCUCACUGAAGGCAAGUUGUGCCCUUGAUCACUUACUUUCCCAGCCAUGUUCUUAUUAAUUUUAAUGAUCUGCAUAGGUUAAUUUUGAUGGGAGCCAUUAUGUUACCCCAGUUUUGAUUACCUCUAUACCUUGUUCACCCCUGAAACAUUUUUGGGUAGUACUUGCUAUUGCUUUAUGUGGAUUGGGUAUGGAGAUACACUAUUCAUGAUUAUUCUGUUAUUAUCUUGUUAUUAUUAUUGUUCAUGUUAAGAUCAUUAAAUUAAUGGGAACAUGGAGCGACCACCCGGGAAAACAGUGCUACCACAAGGGUUUAAUGGGACGCCCUUGGCUGAUUAACUAGGAAAGCUAGUGGAAGACUACCUUACCCGGAAGGGGCAAGGGCAGUAGGGGAGAGGUCAGUGCGGGGAGGUCCCUGGUUGAUUUUGCUGCGAUGGCUAUCAGCCAGGAACCCUUUACUGGAUCUUCCCAUAAACUGUAGCGGGUUUUCGGAAGCUAGUGGAACUUUGUAAAGGCCUCGUAGUGGAUCCCUAGCCAUUCACCUCGGUAGUGUCUAAGGGCCUUGCAAACCCAGGCGACAUGGGAUACACGACUUGUGGGUAAAGAUGCGCAACCUCUGCAGAGUGUAAAACUAGUAUACUAGUCGUGCUCACGGUCAAGAGCGGCUCGGACCCUCACAUGAUUAAAUUAUGGAACUUAAACUCAAUCUGUCAUUUCAUUGCAUCUGGGAUUAUUUCAUUGUUACUUUUAUUAUUUCUAAGGUUUGGUAUUUACUUACACUUAGUAAUUGCUAAUAAAAUUUUGACCAACUUCUAAAAGCAAUGCUCAGCCUCAGCCCUUACUUUGUUGAUCAGCCUUACACUUCAUGAACUCCCACCUUUGGUGAGUUCAUGCCACAUUAUUCCCCACGACUUGUUGAGCUAUGAUCGUAUGUGAGCUCACUCUUGCUGUCUCACACCCCCCACAGGAGAAGAACAGGUGGUCGAAGAGGAGCCGCCUAGCACCGAGGAGUUCGAUCUGAUCUAGGUGGCGUUUCUCAGUUGACAUUGGCGCCGACGAUCCUUAGUUCGUUUUAUAAUUAUUCUUUUAUUUUGUAAUAAGUCUUCCGCUAUGUAAUAAAUACUCUGAUGUUUUAUGACAUUUAUCUCUAUACACUCUGUUAUUAUAUAUGUUGUCUUCUUUGGCGCAUGUAUGAGAUGCACCCGGCUUUGUUCUUUAAAACCGGGUGUUACAGAAGUGGUAUCAGAGGAAUGUUGACUGUAGGACGAAACCUAGAUAGAAAUGGACAACCCUUACCUACUUAUCUCAUUCUGAUUCAUUCUAUACUUACCUUACUCUGAUUCUUUCUACACUUAUCUUGAUCCUGUCUCACCUUCUACUGUUCUACUCUGAUCAUUCUUACCUUUUCUACUCUAAGACAAGAUGGAUUUCACACCUUGGAAUCCUGUCACUAUGAUCUUCUUAAGAGAUAGGGAACCUAAGACAAAAAAAUAAUAAAACUAUUUUCUCUAUUUAAAAAUAUUGAUUGAUUGUUCUGAUGAUCAAUGUCUGAUUUGCUUCUUUGAUUGAUUGAAAUAGUAUAGACGGGCAUCUUAGCAUGUACCACCAGUAGGCAAUGUAUUAGCUUUAGUGGAUAACACACUAAUCCACUUAGCUAAUAAAUCCCCCGCAGUAACAUUUCACGUAAUUACUCGCCUUGUCUACAAUUCUUCCUUUCUUACCCUACAUUCCUAACCCAAAUGUGCUACCCCUAUACUGUUAGAAGAGAGCAGUAUAGAUAUUGAUCCUUGGUAUGUCAUGGUUAAGAAAGGCAAAGGCAGUAUAUACACUGUGUUAAGGGAACCGUAGAACUCAACAGUUCCAAAGGACAAAGAUUUGAAUUUGAAGUUGCAGUAACUACCACCAUCAGACUAGCGACAUUCUUAGUAGAUGAGAAGUUGGUGGGUGACAACAUCCGUGCAGUUAGAGAUUUUCGGAUGUCUUUCCAGAGGAGUUACUAGGAAUGCCACCAGAUAUGGAAGUUGAGUUUGUCAUUGAUCUCUUACCUGGAACUGCUCCUAUUUCUAAAUGGACAUAUAAGAUGUUUGUAGAAGAGUUAAAGGAACUUAAGAAGCAGUUAACUGAGUUACAAGAGGCUGGGUACAUUCGUUCGAGUCUUCACCUUGGAGAGCACCAGUUUUGUUUGUGCAGAAGAAAGAAGAAUCGCAAGGGAUGUGCGUGGAUUAUAGGACCCUUAAUGAUGGCACUGUGAAGAAAAAGUACCCGUUACCCCGCAUUGAGGACUUAUUUGGUCAGAUGAGAGGUGCCAGGGUAUUCUCGAAGAUUGAUCCCCGAUCAGGAUACCAUCAGAUGAGGAUUAGACCAUCGGAUAUUCCCAAGACGGCUUUCUCAACUCGAUAUGGAUUAUAUGAGUUUACUGUCAUGUCAUUUGGAUUAACCAAUGCACCAGCUUAUUUCAUGAAUUUGAUGAACAAAGUGUUUAUGGAGUAAUUGGACAGAUUCGUCGUGGUGUUUAUCGACGAUAUUCUUAUCUAUUCUAAGAAUGAAAGUGAUCAUGAACAACAUCUAAGGUUGGUGCUACAGAAGUUACGAGAUAAUCAACUCUAUGCUAAGUUCAGCAAGUGCGAGUUUUGGAUUGACAAGGUGCCAUUCCUUGGUCAUAUUAUUUCUAAUGGAGGAAUAGCAGUGGAUCCUGCUAAAGUGAAGGAGAUAAUGGAGUGGAGAGUGCCCACUACAGUUACUGAGAUUCGGAGUUUCUUGGGACUCGCAGGAUAUUAUCGGAGAUUUAUUGAAGGAUUUUCUAAGAUUGCUAAGCCCAUGACAUCGCUUUUGGAGAAAGGAAGAGAAUUCAAGUGGGAUGAGAAAUGCCAAGAGAGUUUUGAUCAAUUGAAGGAGAGAUUGAUGUCUCCACCAGUAUUGAUUAUGCCAGAUCUGCAGAAGGGAUUUGACAUUUACUGUGAUGCAUGUGGCCAAGGACUUGGAUGUGUGCUUAUGCAAGAUGGUCAUGUGAUUGCCUAUGCAUCUCGUCAGUUGAGGAAGCAUGAAUUGAACUACCCCACCCAUGAUUUGGAAUUGGCAGCAGUUGUGCAUGCGCUUAAGAUUUGGAGACACUACAUUAUGGGGACUAAGUGCCAAGUGUACACGGAUCAUAAGAGUUUGAAGUAUAUAUUCACUCAGAAGGAUCUCAACCUUAGGCAACGCCGUUGGUUGGAACUCAUUAAGGAUUAUGAUUUGGAGAUUCACUAUCAUCCGGGCAAGGCGAAUUUGGUUGCAGAUGCCUUGAGUCGGAAGGAGCAUGUUCACUCCGCUUUCGUUGUCCAACUACCCGAUGAAUUGGCAAAAGAUUUUGAGAAGCUCAACCUGGGAAUUGUUACUCACACUGAAGGAGUCACCAUUGAGUUGGAACCUACCUUGGAGCAAGAGAUUCGUAAAGGUCAGGUUGGUGAUGCUAAGAUUCAAGAGAUUAAGGAUCUAAUCACGGAAGGUCGAGUUCCGGAAUUCACGGAGGAUGAGCAAGGUACUAUAUGGUUCAAAGAUCGGAUAUGUGUUCCAGAGAUUGAUAGCCUCCGUGAGACUAUAUUGAAAGAAGCCCAUGAUUCUAAUUAUUCUAUCCACCCUGGUAGCACUAAGAUGUAUCAAGAUUUGAAGCAAAAGUAUUGGUGGUAUGGACUGAAAAGAGAUGUUGCUGCUCAUGUGGCUAAGUGUGAUGUGUGUCAAAGAGUCAAGGCCGAACAUCAAAGACCCGCUGGACUAUUGCAUCCAUUGAAGAUACCUGAGUGGAAAUGGGAAGAAAUUGGUAUGGAUUUUAUUGUUGGAUUACCCCGCACUCCUGCUGGGUAUGACUCUAUUUGGGUAAUUGUGGAUAGAUUGACAAAAGUGGCUCAUUUCAUACCUGUGAGGACUAAUUACACGGGAGCCAAGCUAGCAGAAUUGUAUAUGACUCGGAUAGUUUGUCUACAUGGAGUACCUAAGAAGAUCGUGUCUGAUCGAGGAUCACAGUUUACCUCUCGAUAUUGGAAGAAGUUGCACGAGUCCUUGGAUACAAGAUUAAAUUUCAGUUCGGCUUACCAUCCACAGACUGAUGGGCAGACAGAGAGGACUAACCAAGUGUUAGAAGAUAUGUUAAGAGCUUGUGCUCUUAAACAUGGUGGAAGUUGGGAUAAGAGUUUGCCGUAUGCUGAGUUCUCUUAUAAUAAUAGCUAUUAGACCAGUUUGAAGAUGUCACCGUUUGAGGCCUUAUAUGGCAGAAAGUGCAGGACUCCACUGUAUUGGGAUCAAACUGGUGAAAGCCAGUUGUUUGGGCCUGAGAUUAUACAAGAAGCAGAGGAACAAGUUCAGCAAAUAAGGGAGAAUUUGAGAACUGCACAAUCCAGGCAUAAAAGUUAUGCUGACACCCGGAGAAGACUGCUUGAGUUUAAGGAGGGUGAUUAUGUCUAUUUGAAGGUGUCACCACUCCGGGGUAUGAGAAGAUUCAAAGUCAAAGGAAAGUUGUCCCCUCGCUUUAUUGGACCCUUCUUAAUCUUAAAGCGAGUGGGAGAGGUUGCAUAUCAAUUGGAGUUACCGGAUCAUCUUGCGGAUGUUCAUGAUGUAUUCCAUGUAUCUCAGCUGAAGAAAUGUCUUAGGGUACCUGAAGAACAGUUACCAAUGGAGGACCUUAGUGUUCAAGAGGAUUUGACUUAUGCUGAGUACCCCAUCAAGAUUUUGGAUACUUUGACUCGAGUUACGAGGAAUAAGGUUAUAAAGAUGUGCAAAGUGCAAUGGAGCCACCACGGUGAAGAUGAAGCAACUUGGGAAAGAGAAGAAGAGCUUCGUAUAGAUUUUCCCCAUCUUUUCCCUAGAUCUUCUUAAAUCUCGAGGACGAGAUUAUUUUUAAGGGGGGUAGGAUUUGUAAUACCCAAUUUGUAAAAAAUAUUAUAAAAGAAAAAAAAUAUUUUCCUUUAUUUAUAUGUGUGUGUUGUAUCUAUUUAUUAUCACAUGUGAACACCUCAUUUAAAAAAAAACAAAGGAUUAAUAAAAGUCAUGCCAUUAAAUUGUGCAUCAUGCUGAGGUUUCAUUUGGUGUGCAUUUUGUGACAAUAUAAAAUAAUAAUGUGACAAGAAAUAUAUUAAAAGUCCAGAGAGGAAUUUAAAAUCUAAAAGAAAUUCUAUAAUUUAGAGAAGAGAAGGUAGAGAUAUUAUAGAACACAAAAUAAAGCCAUGACCAAAUUCAGUUCACUAAAAUGAUCAAUUUGAAUAUUUGAACUUAGUACAAAUUUUGAGGAGGAAUUGGAAUUCAAAUUCUAGGGUUGAAAGUAUAAAAAAACAAAAAAAGAAUUAAAACAGAAAAUAAAAAGGGGGAGAGUUUACCUGGGCCGGCUUACCACAUUUUGGCCCACUAGGGGAAGCCAUAUGCGCGGCCCACUUAUCCAUUCCGCGCACACGAUGGGAAUUCUCUCUGGGCGCUGGGCCCGAACUGCUAGUCAAACGCGACCCCGUCCUCCCCGUUGGUCAGGGCGGUUGCAACCGCUCCGAGCGAUAUGGCCGGAGGAGCAGCUGGACCGGGUCCCCACGACCGUCGAGCCCGUCAGCGCCUGGAGAUAAAAUUGGGUCCUCUAGGGGAUUUCUCAACGGAACGUGGUGUUACAGAACCGAGAGUGCAGGGCGGCCGCCACCAUGAGACUCCACCAGUGUUUGCAAUUGGAGGCUAGAAUCAAGUCACGGAGGUUCGCUGGCGGUUGUGGAGUCUAAUUCAUGUUCCAAUUGAGCUCGGGAACGACCGGUUGAUGGCCAUGGCCAUCGGGGAACGCGAGAGAAAGGGGCAGAGAGAGAGAGAAGCUCCGCCGCUAGGGAGCGUGAUGGCCAUCACCGUCGCCCUGUGCCUUGGAUGUUGCCCGGCACCCACGGAUGGGUCAGGACCACUCGCCGGUGCGUGUGGGUGCUCAUUGGGGCUUCGGCGGGCUAGGAGCGCUCGCUGGGGGUGGUGGAAUUCCUCGCCGGAGAGGGAGUUGCGCCGCGGGACCGCCUGCUACCGUGGCCAUGACAACCUGUGCCACAAUCCGCGGUAUGUUUAACUCCCUUGUGUUCUCCAUACAAUUCUCCACAUGUGCGCGCCCUAGAUCGGAAAUGAGUCACGGGGAAUCGGAAUCUGGUGAUCUCCUAUGAUGGCGCGCCGCCGUGGGCCGUGGUGACGGGGAGCUGUACCGCUGUGGCCAGCUGCGGUGUAGGAGAAGAAUGCGGCUCGUCCGUUGGUUGAUGAGCGCCUAGGAUUAGAUUUGGCAUAGGAUGGCCCUCGUCCGUCGAUCAUGUAGCAAACGACCGCGAUUAGAUGUGUGUACCCCUUCACGCAUGAUUAAAUCCUGGCCGCUAACUCUAGAUCGUGCGGUCGGGUUUUGAUCCUGUUUUUAUAACACGAGGUGCCGUUGGAUUCAGAUCCGAGGGCGAUCGUGAGAUAUCGGUUUGUUUUGGGCAGAAGUCUAAUCUCGCGCGUCUGUGUUUGAUCGAACGGUCCCAAUUGCCAGAUACCCCUUCGGAUAGCGAUUUUGCAAAAGAGACCCCCUACUAUACUAGUAUCAACCCGCAGUCCACCUGGUGGGUCGUCUGAGUCUUAGGAUUAGUUACACCUAGGCCCCUGAGUUUUCUGGAAAAUGAGGCCGAGUCCAGAGAUGUUUAAAAACAGAGAAAUAUUUAUAGAAAUUCAUUUUUAAUACAAAAACAAAUCUAGAAACUUGUAAAAUUCAUAGAAAUUCCAUUUUUGAUCUAAAUUGAACCAUUCCAAUUUCUAAAAUUUUGUAAUAAUAUUCUCUAUCACUUAAGAGUCUCUGUUUUGUCAUAAAAACAGUAAGAAAAUUAAUUUCUCAUUUAAUCCUAUUUCAAUCACAUUAAAUCUUAGGAAAUUCAUAACUUGAAAUCUAUAACUCCAAAUUUAAUGAUUCCAGUUCCUAUGAUCUCAUUUGAAUGUGUAGAUUUUUACUGUAUAUUUUAUUCAUCUGUUUGGUGUGAUGUUGAUUUUGGCUAUACUAUGUAUGUAUUGUGUUGAUGCGAAUAGACGAGCAAACCACUGUGGAUUCUGAGGUUCAACAAGUAGAGAUAGCUGAGCAGGAGCUCACUGAAGGCAAGUUGUGCCCUUGAUCACUUACUUUCCCAGCCAUGUUCUUAUUAAUUUUAAUGAUCUGCAUAGGUUAAUUUUGAUGGGAGCCAUUAUGUUACCCCAGUUUUGAUUACCUCUAUACCUUGUUCACCCCUGAAACAUUUUUGGGUAGUACUUGCUAUUGCUUUAUGUGGAUUGGGUAUGGAGAUACACUAUUCAUGAUUAUUCUGUUAUUAUCUUGUUAUUAUUAUUGUUCAUGUUAAGAUCAUUAAAUUAAUGGGAACAUGGAGCGACCACCCGGGAAAACAGUGCUACCACAAGGGUUUAAUGGGACGCCCUUGGCUGAUUAACUAGGAAAGCUAGUGGAAGACUACCUUACCCGGAAGGGGCAAGGGCAGUAGGGGAGAGGUCAGUGCGGGGAGGUCCCUGGUUGAUUUUGCUGCGAUGGCUAUCAGCCAGGAACCCUUUACUGGAUCUUCCCAUAAACUGUAGCGGGUUUUCGGAAGCUAGUGGAACUUUGUAAAGGCCUCGUAGUGGAUCCCUAGCCAUUCACCUCGGUAGUGUCUAAGGGCCUUGCAAACCCAGGCGACAUGGGAUACACGACUUGUGGGUAAAGAUGCGCAACCUCUGCAGAGUGUAAAACUAGUAUACUAGUCGUGCUCACGGUCAAGAGCGGCUCGGACCCUCACAUGAUUAAAUUAUGGAACUUAAACUCAAUCUGUCAUUUCAUUGCAUCUGGGAUUAUUUCAUUGUUACUUUUAUUAUUUCUAAGGUUUGGUAUUUACUUACACUUAGUAAUUGCUAAUAAAAUUUUGACCAACUUCUAAAAGCAAUGCUCAGCCUCAGCCCUUACUUUGUUGAUCAGCCUUACACUUCAUGAACUCCCACCUUUGGUGAGUUCAUGCCACAUUAUUCCCCACGACUUGUUGAGCUAUGAUCGUAUGUGAGCUCACUCUUGCUGUCUCACACCCCCCACAGGAGAAGAACAGGUGGUCGAAGAGGAGCCGCCUAGCACCGAGGAGUUCGAUCUGAUCUAGGUGGCGUUUCUCAGUUGACAUUGGCGCCGACGAUCCUUAGUUCGUUUUAUAAUUAUUCUUUUAUUUUGUAAUAAGUCUUCCGCUAUGUAAUAAAUACUCU
rnacentral:lncRNA from 1 species